UUAAGUCAAAUUUUAUGGCUAAUUUUUUAUCGUUAGUUUUUAGGUAACAGUUGGAUUUGAUGUCCCAGUGAAUGGCAUUUUAAACAGUCUUUGAAUUGAUUGGUAAAAUAGCAAUUAGAGUUGGUUGUUUGCAACCUUGGUAAUGAGUAAAAAAAGACAACAAAGGAGAGAGGAAAAUGAACUAAUGGACGGUAAAUGAGCUUAAAAAUAACAUUGAGAUGAACCAGACGAUCAACUGAGGUGACUAAAGCAACUGUGAGGCGUACCAUAUUAAAAUUUCAAAGACCUUUUGGUUAACGAUUUCAAUCUCAAGUUGUAAUACAAACAAUGCCUAGUUGUUGCAUUGUUAUUGGAAAAGCAAAAACACAACUACAGCAUAAAAAAAGCAAAACAAACCAUGCCAAGCUAAGCUGAGUUGAGACAAGACAAAACAAGCCAGGACAAGCUAUUCAAGCCAAAGGACAAUUAUCUAAUUAGACUGAAAUGGCUUGCCGAGGAAUUGAAAUCGUCAGCAAAACAAAGUAAUGGUUAAAAAGCAACGGAUCAACGUAAUGGUGAACAUUAAAAGGCAAGUUUGAAAGAAAGCGAGAAAAGACCAGAGAGGUUGAAGCUAAACUGAAGGGUGGAUUUAAAAUUGAGUAGCAAUAGAGAAAAUUGAAUGUUAAAAUUAGUGUGAUUUACUGAAUGUAAAAAAAAGUGAAAACCUUGAAAUUUUGAAAAGAGAGAAAUAGAUAAAAACAGGGAAAAUAGUUGAGUAAAAGAGUGUGAAUAAAAUGGUUAAUGAAUGAUUGGUAGAUAAUAGUAAGGAAUAAGUAAUCGCCAGAAUCGAGACCGGAGAUUCGGUUUGUUUGAAUGGACUGGCAGCUGAAAAAUAAGAGACAGUGGAAGAAGAAAGAGAAGGUAGGUGAAGAUGAAAGUGUCCUCGGUAAAGUAGUCUGAUGCUAUUUAAGUUGACUUUAACAGCAACUCCAGCAACUCACUUGUUAUCCUGAAAGUUCAAGAUUGAAAUAUUUGUCAAUAACUGCAAUUGAAACAGCAGAUAGGGAAAGAGUGAGAAAAAAAAGCCAGCAAUCAUGAUCAUUGGAAACCAGUUUUGUUUGUUGAUCAGCAAGUCUUUUGGAAAAUAUCUACUCUCAAUUACUCUUUCUUUUCCUUUCUUUUUACCAUCUUCUGGUUUCCGGCGUGACUCAUACUCUUUCUUUCUCUCUUUCCCUCUAAUGGUAUGCUUGCCUUCAACUUUUCUCCCUCUUUUGCUCUUUGACUGUUUUCUUGGCCUUCCUUACCUUCCAGUACCGUUGCUGUUUACACUCAUUUUGGACUGUUGUUUCUGUUAAUUAAUAUAUCUUGGAAACUCUCCUGACUCUUGGAUGGGUUAAAAGCACAGAGUUGUUUGACGUAACCGUCAAAAUUUUUAAGGCUUGUCGUUGGCUUUCAGUUUUCUGGCUGAGCUUUUAUAUUUCACUGUUUCAUAUGAUGAUCUACAGCGUCUUCCGUGCUUCCCUUGCUUUGGAUUCUGGUUGUCAGGCUCACCCACAUUGUUAUGUUGAUCAAGUUGUGCUCUUGCUGGGUUAUUAUUAUUUAUUAUCACAUGAACAAUGAAAUGGCAAGAAAUGAACAAAAAAAGAGCAAAUUAUUGGAGUUGAAAAAAAACAACCAAAAAUGUCAAGAUCAAGCAAUAAAUGGUUUACAAAUGGUUUUGUAAGAAAAAAACAAUAACAAUCAAAAAGCGGUAAACCUGAUGCGGAUGCUGAAAAUGUAAAGUUGGAACGAUAAUGUUCAAUCCAGAAAAUGAGGCAAAAUAUGAUAAGCUUGAAAGUGUUCAUGAUAACAUUUUUUUGUUUCAUAACCAACAAAAAGUCACAAGGAAAAAGAAAUUAAUUGCAAAUGAUUAAUUAGCGGCUAAUGAGGUUUUCUUUGUCUAUUUGCUAACAAGAUGAGGUUUUAAUGAUUACAUUAUGAUGAUGAGACUGCCUUUGAUGGAAACAACAAAAGGAGAAAAAUAUUUAGCUAUCAAGUUGAAUAGUUGCAGGUUAAAUUGAGCUGAAAUUGGAUGGAUAAAAAUGGCCAAAUUAAGUAACGGACCUCGAAUGCUGUUUUCCAUUGCCUAAUGUAGCCCUUACUUGCGAGUUAACCAUUUGUUUCUCUGAUUAUUAUUACACUCCUGAUCACGAAAUGAACAACAACAACAAAACAUGGGCUUGGUUGCACUUCAUCAUCAUCAUCAUCUUGCUCUUUAACCUCAUCCGUAAAAAAAACAGAAAAGUUUACCUUCACUCUUAAAGUAGAUGUAACUUGAAUACUUUUGCUUUUUGGUGUUUCACUUUCUCAAUUACUUGGAUCAUCCCAAUCACAAAUUUUAGCUCCUCUUGGACCACUCUUGGAGUAAAGGCCAACCGAUGAUAAAAGGCCAAACAAAAGGGCCAAAUUAUUGAGGAUCCAACCAGGACCUAAGAAUGAAAUUAACAAGGUAAUCAUACUAUUAGUUGCAAGUAGACGAAGUGGUAAGUCAUUUUAGACAUAACUUAAGAGCCUUUAACCAACCAAAUUACCGUAGGUUAUAAGAUAUAAACACUUAAACCAAAAUAAUAAACAAAAGCCAUUGCCAUUGCCAUUGCCACCAUCAUCAUCAUCAAUUUUGAAGGUCACAUGAUAGGAGCCAGAGGAUGCAAAAAAAUGUUAAUUAUAAUGAAUAACAUGAAAAAUGUAUAACAUCAACAGAGCGACUAACUUGAACCUCAAUCGACCCUUUUGGCCAACUUAGAGUAUCUAAAGAUGUGAAAAUUAGGUUUAAAGACUCGACUUAAGUGUUAAAUUUAUUUUCAUGCUUUAUAUAAUAUCGAUGAAAAGGGUUUUCAAACAAAAAACAAACGGUUUUCUGGUUUUGCAAAGUAACCCAAAAUGAGAUUGUUGAAGGGAAUCCUUUAUAUUGAAUGAUGUUGAAAAAUAUAUGUUUAAUUGAGUUUGGGAAAAUGUAUUAAAAUUUACUAAUUCAGAGUCUUGAAGCUCACAUUUCAUCAAAGCCAACUUCAUGGUUUAAAAAGCUUCUGAAUGGUGAAAAUUGAAAUUGAAAUUAAAUCUUUGGUUUUAGUCUCUAACAUCUUAUCAGACUAAAUGUAUAAUUUCAUGUUAAUUUUUUCACCCUUUUUUUGCGUUACUGAUUUUAAAAAGCCAAAAACAAAUUGAAAUGUAAAUGGAUUUUUAAAUGAACAUUUAAUGGUGAAAAUGUCACCUUUGUACUGUGAAAGUAAAUCAGCAAACCAAUUAUCUAACCAGAAUUAAACAUCCAAAGAUUUCAAGAUAAUCUAUCAAUUUAUAGCCUUGAAUGAAACGGCGCUUUUACCUGCAAUUGUCUUCACCGACAUUUGAACCUUCUUGGCAUGUCACCUCCUAUGGGCAGUAAAUGGUCAAUGAUUUGGAUAGCAAUAAAUGGACAAUCAGUAAUGAUGGUUAAUUGAAAAAAGAAACGAUAAUCAAAAUGAAGCUCAAGAUGAAGCUCAAGAUGAAAGUAAAGAUAAAAGGUAAAAAUGGUUGAAAGUUGAAAAUUGAAAAUGCAUUGUAAAUCUUGUAAUAACAAGGUAAAGGUUAAGCAAAAAAAGCAAAGUUAUGAUGAUGACCUGUGGUUACCUUAACAUUUAAGUAACAACAACUAGUCUUGUUAACCUUUAACCUUUCAACCUUUACUUUUAACCAUUGAAAGCGUAAAAUUAUCAGGCUUACUCAGAUAAAUAUGUGUGUCAACAUGAGGUCCAAUCAAUAUCAUUCAUCUCCAUUGGAAUCUCCUCCUUCUCCUACCUUUCUCAAUCUCUUUCAUGAUUAUCGUUUUACAGAUCAUUUUGAUACCUUAACAUGUUCAUCAGUUAAGUACAAAAUUACUGAUAUUGACUGUUAUCUAGCUCAAAGCUCAGAAGCAGUAAAAUCUUGAAAUCUGUAUUUUUGUGUCUUUUCAUCUCAACUAGGAAGAGGUUGAAGAAAAAUGUUUGAAGGGCAAUUUCAAUGAUAAAAGUCCAUUCCAAUUGAAUGGCCCGAAGUCCCGUUGUUUUGGGUUCCUUUCCCUUUUCAGACAUUUUUGUUUCUCCUUUAAUCAUAACUAUGUUAAUCAGGAUCACUUGCCGAGAAGUGUAUAAAUCUAGUCAAAUCAUCAUCUAAACUGUUUCCACUAAUAUUUACCAUUUAAUGUGAUUCCUUUUUUUUACCUUUACCUUUCAACUCUCUUGUUAGUCUGUCAACUUGUUGCUUUAAUCCUCCAUCCUUCAUCUUUCACUUUCUCACAAUUAACUGUUGCUAUUUGAUUAUCAUCAACAAUUUAACAAUUUACUUUAAAAAAAUGAACCUUCAAUCUUCACCUCUCAACAUGACUCUUUUUGAUAGUCCAACUACAAACCCAUCUUUGGUCCGCUUUACUUUGUCUAUUAACCAUUAAACUAAAUCAUUAAUUGUCUGUCA